rnacentral:rRNA from 1 species
GGCUAGCGUUGUUCGGAAUUACUGGGCGUAAAGCGCGCGCAGGCGGCUAUCCAAGUCAGUGGUGAAAGCCCGGAGCUCAACUCCGGAACUGCCAUUGAAACUGUUUAGCUUGAGGAUGAGAGAGGUGAGUGGAAUUCCCAGUGUAGAGGUGAAAUUCGUAGAUAUUGGGAAGAACACCGGUGGCGAAGGCGGCUCACUGGCUCAUUACUGACGCUCAGGCGCGAUAGCGUGGGGAUCAAACAGG